UACGGAGGAUGCGAGCGUUAUCCGGAUUUAUUGGGUUUAAAGGGUGCGUAGGCGGAUUGAUAAGUCAGUGGUGAAAACCUGCAGCUUAACUGUAGACUUGCCGUUGAUACUGUCAGUCUUGAGAAUGGUCAAGGUAGGCGGAAUGUGUAGUGUAGCGGUGAAAUGCUUAGAUAUUACACAGAACACCGAUUGCGAAGGCAGCUUGCUGGGCCAUGACUGACGCUGAUGCACGAAAGCGUGGGGAUCGAAC
rnacentral:rRNA from 1 species